ACGGCAGUAGCUCAACUGGCAGAGCAACGGUCUCCAAAACCGUAGGUUGAGAGUUCGAGUCUCUCCUGCCGUG
rnacentral:tRNA from 2 species